CUCCUUUCUCUAGUCUAUCUCUUUCAAUUUCACUUUUUUUAUUGACAUUACGAAGAAUUUAAUUUUUUUCAGGUCACAUUUUACCCUAAUAUUUCGGAUAUCUGUUUAAUAACGAUUUUGAUUUUGAUUUUGAUAUCGAAAUGUGAGCGAUUAAAAUGCAGUUUAUUUUUUGUUUGAACAAAUUGCUGAUGACUACAAGUUUCUGUUUGAUUUUAUUUGAAUUUUGUUUGAUGAUUUUCUUUAGAAAUUGUGCACAAAAUUCUCAACACUUUAAUUGGCUCUGCAUUCAAGGUAAUUGUUUUCAAUUCACUUUUGCCCUAAUUUUUCCGAUCGUUGUUUAAUGAUUUUAAUUUUGACGUAGAAAUGCUAGCGAUUAAAUUACAAUAGCAAUUUUUUUUUACUAUGAAGCCUGAAAAAAUGUACCAUUAUGUGUUGGGAAAAUUCCGGUGUCUCUCUUUGUUACCACUUACCACGGUCAUCUGGUGGGCUGGUUGUGCUUGUUUAAGUUCAGCUUAGACUAAUAUUCAUAUAGACUUGGCCUGUUUUCAUCACUAUCACCCUUAAAUGGAAAUCUUAUGAGGUUGCAUUGGGUUAGCACACGGAUAAAGUAGUAGCCAUUGUUGGAGGAAGAUGUGGUUGAAACAUUGAGUAAAAGAGGGGGUUAUGCUGCACUAAGUAGUACCAUUAACAACAAAAUGAGAGUUAAUAGUAAAGCAAUAUCGCAUUGAUGCCAAUCACAACAUCAAGCACUAAAAAUUUUUAGUGAACUUAUUAUUUGAAGGUUAUUUUCAAUGUAUGAGUUUAGAAGUAGACAAGUAAUACAAAAUACAAUUUUGUGGUUUAGCAAACUUUGGAUGCGAGCUUAUCAGUAAUAUUUUAAUUAUUGUCUAGCAUCAGGGCAUGUUCUUUUCGAUUAAUUUUGCUACACUUAUUUGACUUACCUUAUUACUGUUGAGCUAGAUGUAUCUGAACUUAACUAAAUUAAGUAGUAUGAAUUUAGAAUAAUAAGUUGUAGGGAGUGUUGCUUGUGUUAGCGCUUAAUUCAAAUAUUUUGAACAUUUAUUUCCAAAAUAAGGUCUAAUGGUUCAAGAGACCAAGUCGAUAAUGGUGUUAGUUUACUUUACUUUUGGUACAUUUUUUUUUGUAGUUACUACUAAUUACUUUGAAUGAUCUUUUAGCAUGCCUCCUGCAUUCGCAGUUUGGACUUUCUCUUUUUGUUGUUCAAGUACUCGGCUGGAUCUACGUCCGUGUCGGGCAUGGGUACACCAAAAAUUAAUGGGUUUGGGUCCGAGUCCUAUUGGACCUGAACAAAAUCCGAUCCAUGACCAUCCCUAUUUAGAACACUUAUCUUUGUGAUUGUAUCAAGAACUUUCUAUGCUUCAAGUGCAACAAUCAGCUAACUACUGUUUUUUGGAUUAGCAAUCUUGUAAUUGAUAAAGCAUGGAGCUAUAAAAAAGAGACUUGUUAUUAGUGAAGUGUAAGGCACUCUCACAGACCAAAGAUCAAAACUUGGAGUUUGGAUGGAUGUUUAUAGUGUGUAUAAUAAAGUAGAUCAAAACACAAGAUCUAAGGUGAUUCACCAAAUUAAGGCUACAUCCACCAUAUUUAGCUAGGAUAGUAUCCAUAAUGUGUUUGAAGGAAAAGCUACAAUAUUGAAGGAAUAUUCUAAGGCUACAAUAUUCUAACCAAAUCGAAUAUUUAGACGUAUCGAAACUUGGAUACAUACCAAUAUCGUAAUCAGUAGCCGAGUCUAAGUAAUAUAGAUCCUAACAAUUAGUUAUAUAGUUAGUGUGUUCUAGAGUGUGGUUUUUCCUAUUUAGCAUGUACCAUGAUUCAACAAGAUUUAAUUGCCGCAAUGCUAUCAAGUGGCUCCUACUUUGAGUGAGUUUUGGAAGGAUUGGAUGUAUGCAACCGUACCCUUGAUAUACAUUUGUUAGUGAUAUUAAAGAGGUUGUUUCCAGUUGACCCUUAGUAGUAAACUUCAUAUAAAUAAGAAGUGCACAUGAUUCAAUCAGUCAUUUUACAAAUAGUCCAUUCCAAAGACAAAUAACUGUUAAUCUUUGGCCCUGUAGAAAUAAGGAACGUAGCACGUUUUAUUUUAUCUCAAGCUAGAUAGAAACGUAGCAUGUGGAUCAAUUUUAGUACGUCAUACUCGUAGUCUCUUAACAGAAUCUUCCGAGUUUCUUUUCGUUUGAUUGGUAGAUUUAGUUUAUAAAUUAGCAAUAGCUCAGUAUUUAAACAAUGCAAAUCGAGACAUAGCACAAUUUGUUCUCAUGAUAUACAAAUCUUAAUUCUGAAUAACAUUUGGUUAUGCUCUUUGAAGCAUUGCAUUUGCAUGCUUUAUACUGCAUUGUGUGGAAAGAAUCAAAGUUACAUGAGACAUUCUAUAUGUCCCGUUCUCCGUUUUUACUAUAUUUGUAUUCCAAGUGUGCAAUAGGGAAAAACCUGUUUUAUUUUAGCAUGUUGAUUAUGUUGACUGUUUGACACUAUUUUACUCGAACUCGUAUACCCAUGUCAAGCACGACUAAUUGUCAAGUGUCCAAACUAACUACUUUGUAAAAAAUCCCAAGGUUUCGAACCAAUUGAAAUGUCCAAGUGCUCUACUCAUGUCCAAGCGCCACAGAUUUGUCACGAGUUGAGGUGUUGUAAAGAGUCCAAGCAACUAAGGUUCGACACAUAACUUUCGAGGUCUCCUUGGUCUGCUCCAUUGUUCUUCCUCAUUUGUAUUUGUAGAGACCAAACUGAAUGGGACCAUGAGAGUAAGAUAUCAAAGGAUCAAUUUAUGGGAAGUUAGUAUGAUGACAUUUUGGAUGUUACCAACAUGAGUUCAAAAACAAAUGCAACUAUAAAAUUUUCUCUAUGCACAUAGCAAUGAAGCCCGUAUAAAUCAUGGGGCUUUACAUUAUGUGCAUUUAUGAAGAUGUAAGUACUUACAUGGGUGUUUGAUUUUAUUAUAUGCUUACCUAUAAAUAUUUUACUAUGAAAAAGGCUCAAAAAGGCUUGAGAUUUUAGUAUCUAGCAGUGCUUUCUUUGCAAGACUAGGAGUUGAGCUCUCAAAUUUCAUUUUCUGGAUAAAUGGAUGCACGAAGGUGGUUGUAGAAUGUGAUUCAUGCUUAAAGAAAGGGAAGACUGAUUGGUAAACUUCGGUCCUGAAUAGCGUCGUGUAAAAAUGCAGGUUUCAUUGCGAUCCCAAAUCAGUUUUUUCUGUUAAUGUGGAUGGUUUUGUGGUUGCCUUGGCGCAGUUGAUUAAUAGUUCCUUGGAAGUAUGGUUUUUUCUCUUUUUAAUUAUUGUAUCAUUUUUUUUAAUUUUUAUGUCAAUUUAUCGGCAAUCUUUGAACAUUGCCUUUCUAAACUUGUGUUUUUGUGGCAUGCAGUUUGCAUAGGUUUUAUGGUCUAUCUUUCUUAGUUCCUUGCACAGGUUUUAUAGUUUAUUGAUAAAGUAUGAUGUAGCUUGAAUCUUGAUUUGGUUUUAUGGUUGUCCUAUAGGUACUACAGAUUCUAGGUAGAGUACGGCAUGAUGGCAUGCUUAGCUGAUACUAAAGUAAUAUAGUUUGUGGCCGUACUUAAUCUUUUGUUGUUCUUAAGUGUUAAUAGUUAAUAAGUUUGUAGGAACUUUUUCCUGGAGGUCUGGGGGCUGGCAUUUGGUUAAAAGUGUUGAGGCUCAGAUGGUGUGCAAUCAAUCUAUGAAAUACAGGAAUCCGAUAUCUAUUUAUUUGAAAUUUAUUUAUACCAUAUAUCCUCGAUCUGUGGAGUCUGUACUUAAAGCGUUUAGAACAUCUGGUUCUAAGAUGAAAAAUUGGCGAUAUUACUUUUAUUGCUUGUUUGAGUCAGAAAUUUAUUUUCUUGUGAGUCUGGUGUUUUUGAUUCUUGACGAACAAUGGAGUUUAUGCUGAGCUUCAUUUCAUGUUUUAUUCUAAAUGCUUUUGUAUUUUUAAAAGAAAUGAGAUAUUUUAAGUAGGCUUGGCCGAACUAUUCUAAUUAGCAUUGAGUUGAGUUUGAUGAUGAUGAUGUGUAUGGCCUUACUCUAUAUUUAUGAUGUUUAUUGAUUUUGUAAAGCUUAUAAGAAGGAUAAUAUUUGGACCACAUACUAAUAACAAAUGUUCUCUCUGUUUUUUAAGGUAGAUUUUGUAUUCACUAGUAAAAUUUUCCCAAGGCUCCAACUACACCUUGAAUUAUUUUUAAAAGGCAAAUUAUUUUAAGCCAUCAUGAAUCAAGAACGUCCCUUUGUGGAUAACCUGUCCUACUCAACUGUGAAUGUGUAGCUUUACAUUUAUUUGUUACUGUGAGACUGCAAUUAUGAGACAAAAUUUAUGUAGUGAAAUUUUCUUUUACCGUAACAAUAUAAGAUGGCUCAGGCUUUUGGAUUGAAUGGUUUAUCUUGAUUUUAAAAUUGCAUACAUAAUUACAUAUGGUUAUAUUUUUUCUUUCGUAAUGAAGUCAGUUUCUUUUGUAUGUUCUGUUUCUUUUAAGGGUUCUGUGCAAGUGGCUUAAACUAAAUUUUAAAUUAGGAGAGAAUUCGUUGAAUUCUUUUCUUUGGUCCGUUACGCAGUCCAAUAGGAUUUUACAUCUUGAUUGUUGUUAAGGGACGUUAAAGAGUUCUUUCAUUUGUUUGUUGAGCUAGUAAGGAUGAAUUAUUAUAUAUUUGGUAUACCUUAUUUGUAAGUUCUUUUGAUAUUAUUAUAUGUUACACAAGCCUUUUAUUUAUACUUAGGAUGGCAAUGGAAGGGAUGCUGAGUGUGCAUCUAGAAUUAUUUACAGAAGGAAGAUAUGAAGAUAGCUGAUGUAUUUUGAGAUAGUCGGUCUGUUUAGAAAGUGUAGUUAUCGGCCAUUGAUUCUAUGUCUUAGAUUAAGAUAGUGCUGAGCUUGCAUCUAGAAGUUUGUAUGGAUAACUAUUAACUUACAAAAGGAAGAUAUGAAGAUAGCUGAUGUAUUAGAGAUAGUCGGUCUGUUAAGAAAGUGAAGUGUAGUUAUUGGCUGUUGACUCCUGUCAUAGAUUAAGAUAAUUGGAGUAAGUGAAAGUGUACUAGUUUAAUAUUCUAGGCAUAUGGAGUAAUAGUUCCACUGGGUUCUAUAAUGUAGGUGAAAAAAAGUAAAUCAUGACAUAUGACCGUAAAAUCAAGGUUGCUUGUAGGCAAUGCAGGGUGGUAUGGGCUUUAACAGCUGAAAUAAAAUCUUUUCAGUUGCCACAGAAAAAUACGUGAAGAGUGUUGUUAUUAGUUGUGUGAUCUGAAUUUGAUUUCCUAUUAUAUCAGAUACGUUGUAAUAUAUUCAACUGAUUCUUGAUGCUUGUCACAAUCUCUUUGUAAGGUGAAUUGAUGUUUCCUCCCUUUAUUCUAACUUCUAAGGUGAAAUUGUAUAACCACUUUUUAUUGUAUCUAAAUUUCCUCCACUUUUGCGCAGAUUAUGAGAUUGUCCAUGUGGAUAAAAUACCCAAGGCCCAAAUUAUUUAUUACUGAAGGUGCAUAUCUGUGGAUACGAUGUAAAUUAGCAUGUUAGUUAGUACCUUGAAAUGAACUGAGGACUAUUUUCUUAGUGAAAUACAACAAAGUGAACUUAUUGGACUAAAAGCCACAAGAAGUGCUCAUUUGUUUCUGGGCUUUCAAGUAACAUGAGAGGUUACAUUCCUGUUCUUAACAUUUAAUGUAUACGUGUGUUUGAAGGAUUUAAUUAUUAUUGCAGACAUUUUUUCUUAAUACACACCUAUUUAAAUAAAGAUUAUGAGUCAAUUUUGAAGCUUUUGUCCUUUUAUGAAUUUUAAUUAAAUUGAGUUGUUAAACUUGGGACAGAGGAAGUGGUGGAAUAAGUUUAUGACAUGAAAUAUGAUUCGUUAGAUAUCAAGUUAGUUACUUAUUGUUUUUUGUUGGGAUUAAGGAUUUGACAUUGUUAUUUUGGUGACGGAUUUAUAGGUGUAGUAAUACGUUAAGAGUUUGCAUUCAUCACUUUGAAUUGUGAUAAUUUAUAGAUUCACUAUGUGAUAAGAAAGGGAUGCUGAUAACUGAUAACUUCUAAUUAAUGUUAUUCGGUUUCUUAGAGGUGAUCAGAAAAAAUAUUUAAAUUUUGGAUGAUAUUAAUGUUGCUUUGCCAAGUUCAUUGCACUAAAAUGCCUAUUGUCAUGUCAGAAAAAUAAGGAGGUGCUUUGGGUUAGAAGAUUAGGAUACUACUUUGGAAUCCUACUGAAAGCUGGUAUAGGCUAUAAUAUAUUGGUUAGAGGUGGUAGCAUAUCUUACAUGACAUUGCAUGUUGCAUCAAUUGAAAAGAUGUUCACGGGGUGGUUAUAUGUUUUUGAUGCUUUGUUCAUUAAAUGCUUAUGCUAAUCUGUUCCUUUGAGUUUACACCAAAAAGACUAAUUAGGUCUCACAUUGUAAGACUAAAUUGAUUGAGAGGUACUCUGUAAACUUUACAUCCAUAUUUGUAGUAGAUGAUUCUUAGCUUAUCCAGAUAUGGAUAGUACCUGAUAGUGUGUCAUUUUAUACUGCAUUGUUGAGGUUAGACAGUGGUAAUGAAGUUUGGUGGUACAUUGCCAGUCAUUUUUAAUGGCAACUUGUGGUGCGAAGCUGAUCGUAAACACUGUCACUUAAACAGUGUUUCAGUAAUACUAAAACCUAAGAACCUAGUCGUGUUUUCCUCUAAUAGUGGUUCAUUAAUGUGUCUUCUAGAAUGUUAAACCUGUGUAAGCAAAGGUGUUUGUGAUAAGGCUGUAGUCUGUGUGGCUGUAUUUCGGUUAGGAAAUUAAUUAAGUAGGUAUUAGGAGCUAAUUAGCCAUAGUGCUUCUAUCUCAUUAAAUGGCGCAAAAAAUUCACAAUCUCUUCAUAAGUAGGACAGAGAGCAGAUCUCCUAGUCACAUGCCUUUUGGGGACCAUCAAUUAGUGAUCAGUUCUAACAGCUUCGAAGGACAAUAGAAUAAUCAAUAAAAAAGAAAUCUCGUGGACCCAUGAGGGCAUAUAGUUGGUAGAUUUGGCUAUCUUGCCAGGUAAUGUCAAGUUCACUGUGAAAACAGAAAUAUGGAAGAACUGGAUGAAUGAAGAGUCGUCUUUAUUGAGCUUCUUAAAUUUAGUCUUAGGAAAAUAUUUAUUUGUUGUAGACUUUCCGGGUACAGAUAUCGACACAUCUCAAAACUGUAGUUUGUUAUAGAACGUCCAUUUAAUCUGGUGCUUGCAAAUAGAGUUGCUAGGUGGUCCGUUAGAGAGAACUUGUAAUUCAUGAAGCGAUAGAUAAGUGCUAUACUAUAUAGACAACAAGAUGGCAGACUUAUUAGUCGUGUCGGGUGUGGAUUGGCCAAGUUUGGGUUCAGGUAACGUGGGGUUAUGUAGGUUGAAAAAGCUUGUUCAUGAACCAAUGAUUUUGAUUUCGGGUUCAUGCUGCCUUUUGAUUUGACAAAAAGGAUGUAGCCUGUGUAGACACAUUAUGAUAUAUACACAAAAUGGAUGUUCAAGCCUAUAACAAUGUGUAAAACAUGUUAUUUCAUUCAAAUUUAAUUCAUUUAGGUUUUGGAAUGCUCAAAAUUGGUGCAUAUUUUCCUUGUAACGAUCUGCUAUGCAGGAUCUUCUUCCUGACGCCGGAAAUCGAUCUGCUAUGCAGGUUUGUCUUCUGACAUUGAAAGUCAACCUGCAUUUCAUGCCUAAGUUCAAGCAGUAAAAUCUGACCUCUUUGUUCCGUUAACUCUGGGAUUUCAUGUUAGAAUUCUGAAAAUCAACUUUUUUGGCUUGAAGUUGAGUCAAUUGGCUCAAUUAGUUACAUGUUAAAUGCAUGUGUGCGUGUAUACGCGCAUGCUUCAAACUGCAUCUUACAAGAAGAUAACAACCUACUUCUUAAUGUUUAGGAUCAAAAAAGCUUUAAAGUAUUCCAACUUCCAAAGGGAACCUUCCCACCUUCUAUGAUAACUUUGGCCAUCAAAGGUCACCUGAAAACAACCUUUUGUGAUCACUGGCAAACGCAAGGUUUUUUAUAUUGGAAUUGAAAGCUAUUUAUUGGCAUUGAGACAAUUGAAUGUUGUUCGAUUAUCGUGACACGCAUUUUGAUAACUAUAGUAUUAAUUAGUUUCUUUAUA